CUUGAGUUUGAUCCUGGCUCAGAUUGAACGCUGGCGGCAGGCUUAACACAUGCAAGUCGAGCGGAGAGAGGUAGCUUGCUACUGAUCUUAGCGGCGGACGGGUGAGUAAUACUUAGGAAUCUGGCUAUUAGUGGGGGACAACAUUUCGAAAGGGAUGCUAAUACCGCAUACGUCCUACGGGAGAAAGCAGGGGAUCUUCGGACCUUGCGCUAAUAGAUGAGCCUAAGUCGGAUUAGCUAGUUGGUGGGGUAAAGGCCUACCAAGGCGACGAUCUGUAGCGGGUCUGAGAGGAUGAUCCGCCACACUGGGACUGAGACACGGCCCAGACUCCUACGGGAGGCAGCAGUGGGGAAUAUUGGACAAUGGGGGGAACCCUGAUCCAGCCAUGCCGCGUGUGUGAAGAAGGCCUUAUGGUUGUAAAGCACUUUAAGCGAGGAGGAGGGUACUGGUAUUAAUACUACCAGGUACUGGACGUUACUCGCAGAAUAAGCACCGGCUAACUCUGUGCCAGCAGCCGCGGUAAUACAGAGGGUGCGAGCGUUAAUCGGAUUUACUGGGCGUAAAGCGUGCGUAGGCGGCUAAUUGAGUCGGAUGUGAAAUCC
rnacentral:rRNA from 1 species